ensembl:lncRNA
AACCUUACUAGAUAGUUCGCUUUGUAUAUAGUAACUGUAAUAGUAACCUUACUAGAUAGUUCGCUUUGUAAAUAGUAACUGUAAUAGUAACCUUACCAGAUAUUCGCUUUUGUAUAUAGUAACUGUAAUAGUAACCUUACUAGAUAGUUCGCUUUGUUAAUAGUAACUGUAAUAGUAACCUUACUAGAUAGUUAUUUUUGUAAGUAGUAUCCCUUAUAGUAACUCAGCUAGACAGUUAACUUUCCUAAAUAGAACUUUAAUAGUAACCUUAAUUUUAAUCUUACUAUAUAGUUAGCUUUGUAAAUAGUAACCUUACAAGUAAACCACUAAUAUGCUGUUAGCUUGGCUAAUAGUAACUCUAAUCGUAACCUUAAUAGAUGGUUCGUUUUGUAAAUAGUAACCUUAAUUAUAACCUAUAUAUGACUUUAUAAAUGUACUGUAUAGUUAGCUUUUAUGACUAGUAACCUUAAAAGUAACCGUUAAUAUAUCAUUCGUUUUGCAAAUAGUCAUUUUAAUAGUAAUCUUUUUAGUAAACUUACUAGAUACUUAGCUUUUCUGAAUAAUACCCUUAAUUGUAAACUUACUUUUUGAUAACCUGCUUCGUAUAUAGUAAUAUUAAUAAUACCCCUUAUUUGACUUGAAUAGAUAGUUGGCUUUGUAAUUAGUAAAUUAAAUAGUAACCUUAAUAGAUGGCUGGUUUUGUAAAUACUAUCUUUAACGGUAGCCCAGCUAGAUAGUUAGCUUUUCUAAAUAGUAACCUUAAUAGUAACCCUCAUUUUAACCUUACUAUAUAGUUAGCUUUGCAAGUUUUGUAGUCUUAAAAGUAACCGUUGUUUUGUGAAUAUUAACUUGUGACUAGUGAGCUUAUUAGUAAACUUACUAGAUCGUUACAGGGCCCUCCACUAAUAUUGGCACCCUUGGUAAUUAUGAGCAAAGAAGGCUGUGAAAAAAAGAAACUCUUUAUUGUUUAACCUUAUGAUUUUUUUGUUUAAAAAAAAUUCACAAAAAUACUCUGCUCUCGUAUAUAUAUAUAUAUAUAUCUUACAAUUGCAUACACAACACAGGAUUAUAAAAAUAUAUCUUCGUUAAAUAUAGAUGUGCAACAAUUAUUGGCACCUUUUUAGUCAAUACUUUGUGCUAGCUCACUUUACCAAGAUAACAGCUCUGAGUCUUCUCCUAUAACGCCUGAUGAGGUUGGAGAAUACAUGGCGAGGGAUCUGAGAGCGUUCCUCCAUACAGAACCUCUCCAGAUCCUUCACAUUUCCAGGUCCAUAUUGGUGGACUCUCCUCUUCAGUUCACCCCACAGGGUUUCUAUGGGUUCAGGUCAGGGGACUGGGAUGGUCAUAUCAGGACCUUGAUUUUGUGGCCAGUAAACCAUUUCUGUGUUGAUUUUUAAAAUACGUUUUGGAUCACUGUUGUUGUUUGUCACAUUGCAGCUUUUCUAAAUAGUACCGUUAAUUGUAAGCGUCCCAGAUAGCCAAAUUUGUAAAUAGUAGCCUUAAUAACAAGCUUACUAGAUAGUUGUCUUGGCGAAUGGUAAUUUUAAUAGUAAACACACUAGAUAGAUAGAUAGAUAGAUAGAUAGAUAGAUAGAUAGAUAGAUAGAUAGAUAGCUUUUAUAAAUACUCAUCUACCAAAGUAGUUGUUUCUAUAUAAUUUAUUUGGCCUGUUUCAACUUUUUUUCCUUUGAUAAUAACUGAUCAGUAGCUUGCUAAUAUCCAGAUUACAGCCAUAACCUACAGUAUGUUCAGUUAUAUAACAUUUCAAAGCUGCUUCUAUGGAAGAUGAGAUUUGUGCAGUUUGAUUUUUGAUUUCUUUUUCUUUCGUUUUUUUUUCUUUCUUUGCCACUGCAUAAAGGUCAUUGAUAUCACACAGGGUUUAUUUGCUAGCUAAUAUCUAUGCACACACUCAGGCACAGAAAAUCUGACUAUAUGGCAACCCUUUCCACCUCUGUUUUCUCAAGGCAAAUAGUGCUCAUCUAUCAGGGCACGAAACGAUAACCUCUGCGUGUUUGUG